rnacentral:rRNA from 1 species
UACCAGCACCCCGAGUGGUCGGGACGAUUAUUGGGCCUAAAGCAUCCGUAGCCGGUUCUACAAGUCUUCCGUUAAAUCCACCUGCUUAACAGAUGGGCUGCGGAGGAUACUAUGGAGCUAGGAGGCGGGAGAGGCAAGCGGUACUUAGUGGGUAGGGGUAAAAUCCGUUGAUCCAUUGAAGCCCACCAGUGGCGAAGGCGGCUUGCCAGAACGCACUCGACGGUGAGGGAUGAAAGCUGGGGGAGCAAACCGG